rnacentral:piRNA from 1 species
UACAUCAGUUCCCUGCAGUAGGGCAGGAUGU